AGGGAAAGUUGCAAAGAACUUUGAAGAGAGAGUUCAAGAGGGCGUGAAACCGCUUAGAAGAAAACAGCUGGAGCUGAUGACAGUCUGUUGGAUUCAGCCAUCUAGUGACUGUGUUCGAUUGGUAUCAGAUCUUUGUGACUGAAUCAGUUGGAAUAUCAUCAGUAACUGUUGGUGCAUUUCCUUCAGAUGAGCAUUGAGGGUGGUGACUAUGUGGUGGAAAACCUCACGAUGCCGGCUGGGAUUCUUAUUCCAGUGUCCCUCGUAGGUAGACUGCGCAUCAUGGACACCAUUGAUGCUUAUGCAUCCACAUCAGUGCGGUAGUGUCGGAAUGGGGGAUUCGAUCAAUUGGUGUUGCUCUGUCCGCAGGCAUGCUAAUUCGGUCCUUCAUUUAAAAGACAUGAAUCCGAGUUGAUGCAGCUUCAAUGUUUCAAAGUCAGCCUCCCAGCUGACCCGUCUUGAAACACGGACCAAGGAGUCUAACAUGUGUGCGAGCUAUUGGGUGGCAAACCCAAAAGCGAAAUGAAAGUGAAACUCAAUCCUGUUGAGCUAUAUGAGAUCCUCGUGUCCCAGUGACCGAGGCGCACCAUAGUCCCGUCCUGUCCGCAUUGUCGGUGGGUCGGAGAUUGAGUGCAUAUGUUGGGACCCGAAAGAUGGUGAACUAUGCCUGAGCAGGAUGAAGCCAGAGGAAACUCUGGUGGAAGUCCAUAGCGGUUCUGACGUGCAAAUCGAUCGUCAGACUUGGGUAUAGGGGCGAAAGACUAAUCGAACCAUCUAGUAGCU
rnacentral:rRNA from 1 species